AUUGAACGCUGGCGGCAGGCCUAACACAUGCAAGUCGAACGAGUGGCGGACGGGUGAGUAAUGUCUGGGAAACUGCCUGAUGGAGGGGGAUAACUACUGGAAACGGUAGCUAAUACCGCAUACCAUCAGAUGUGCCCAGAUGGGAUUAGCUAGUUGAUGGGGUAACGGCUCACCAAGGCGACGAGCCCUAGCUGGUCUGAGAGGAUGACCAGCCAGACUGGAACUGAGAAACGGUCCAGACGCCUACGGGAGGGAGCAGUGGGGAAGAUUGCACAAUGGGCGCGAGCCUGAUGCAGCCAUGCCGCGUGUAUGAAGAAGGCCUUCGCGUUGUAAAGUUCUUUCCGCGGGGAUGCGUUACCCGCAGACUAAGCACCGGCUAUCUCCGUGCCAGCAGCCGCGGUAAUAC
rnacentral:rRNA from 1 species